UUAGAGAGUUGCAUUUGUUGAGAGGUGA
rnacentral:sRNA from 1 species